UGAAGGGAGGUAGCAGGGAGCAGAGCCUCUGAGGUCAUGGGACUUGCUCGUUCCCACUGCCCUGGGUCUGAUUCCCAGAAGCAGGAGUUUGAUCCUUCCGAGAAGCAACAGCAGGAAUUGAGAUCCGUAACAACGUAGGACCAUCUCUGGGUGAAACCCAACAACGCAGCACAGUGAAGAGGAUCCAGGCAUCAGGGUAAAGGUCUUAGCCAUGCGACCUUGAACGAGGUGCCUGAACUCUCUGUCAGUUUCCUUGUCUGUUUGAUACUGUUCUGGUGUUACAGUGAAACAACAUUCCGUGUCUGUUUUAUUUUCUGUUGUUGUAACAGUAGCUCAAUUAGCACUGGGCAUAUAGUAAGCACUCAAAUACAUAUAGAACGAGUUCCAUGAGAUAAUACUUUUCAGUGCUUAUCACCCAGGAAAUGAUAACCGAUCCACAACAACCUACUCAAGAGCAACAGAUGUUUAUUAAGCACCUAUUAAGUGUCAAGCCUUGUUAGGUGUUGGAAAUACAGCAGUGAACAAGACAGACAAGAUCCUGCCUUCAGGAAGCUUCUAUUCCAACAGAAUGAUUGCAAAGAUAGCUGCCCUCAGGCUGCUCUGCCAUCAGGAGGUGGGGCCGGCCCUCCUUCCCUGGAAUCUGGUCAGCUCUUGUGAACUUGCCUUGCCAAUGUGGACGCAGCAGAGGCCUCUCUGUGCCGGGUCUGGGCCUUGGCUUGAAGAGGCUUGGCGGCUUCCACUUGUGCGCAUGGUACAAGUGCAGAAGCUCGGCUCAGACCAUGAGAGAUUGUUCCCUGAAACAGAAACAGCAGCCAGCACUACGCUGGGAGAGGAGGAAAGCAUAAUCCCAGCAGAGUUCACAGCAGGAUGCAUCCUCUUCAAGACCCGCCAGAUUGAUUUCAAGAUCCUCUAAGAGACCAACGUGAAGAACAAGACUGGGAUGGAGAAUGAACGGGUCGGUGCCUGGGAUUUGGAACCAGUAGCCCAACCUGGGGAGAGAAGAGUCUCCUGGCCAAGCGUCCGGAGGCAGAGGAGGCCAGCCAGCGUGUUAACACCAGCCCUCCGAGCCCAGGAGCCCUGCCCCGUCCACUCAGCAGCCUGACUCCGGUCCUUCUUCCAGGGUCUCCUGAGCCGGUUUUGAGCCAGUUUGGUGGGUUGCUGAAAAUGGCCCUGAAGUGACCUCGACUCCUGUCUGAAUCUCGCUCCGCCAGUCACCAGCUCUGUGACUGUCAGCUCCCCAGGCCUCAGUUUCCUUAAUCGUAAAAUGGAGGGGAAACACGGGGCCCCUGCAGGUUUGUGGUGAGGAUUUCAUGAGAUGCUGCAGGGCACAGGUUGUCUGCUGGAACCAGGCCCCCGCAACGCCCGGCCUCGGCUACCAGAGAGCGAGGGGACGCCGUGAGGUGGACGCAUGGACUUGCAGGGCCUCACGGCCCGUUGGUUUGACCACAGAAUCCAGUCUUUAAAGAAGCACCCGCCCUCCAGAUCCCCGCCCUGUGCUCUUCUUCCCUCCUCUCGUCCCCGGGGGGCAUCCGCAUGGGCAGCCUCAGGGGAGCUCCCUUCCCCUUUGGCUGGCUGUGGGUUUUGCCAACCGGAGACCAGGCAAGAGAUCAGAGAGGGUGUGAGGAGGCAGCAUAGGGCCAGCUGCGUGCAGAGGCUCCUCGGGCUGCUCCCUGCAUUCGGUGGCUCUUUGGAACUUCGGGUGCCUGUCGCUUCUCUUCUUGCUUCAGGCUCAGGGUCAGCCAUGGCUGCCUUGGUCACUGGUCCCUUGUUGGUUGCCCUAAACCCUGCCCACACCUUAUAGAGAGUGCCUUACUAAGCUCUCCCCGGUUACCUGGAGUGUGUCGUCUUGUCCCUGGAAGGAUGCCUGUGGAGAGAGGUCAUCAGUUUUAGCCCAUGACUCAAAUUCCCAAGAAGAAUGGCAUUAUUUCAUAAUGUGCUGAAAUCCAGUUCUGCGCCCCCAUCGUGCGAGGGAGGAGAGGGACGUAACCUCAUUAUCGAGCAUCCCCCCCACACACCUUGGACACAUGCGGGUCCCUGGGCUCUAUGCAGGGGCAGAGCUUUGGGGCACCACUCGUGGCUGUUUGGUCACCCAUCAGCCCAGGCUGCAGGUCCUUUCAGGUUGAAGGGCACCGACGCCUCCACGUCAGACGUGGGACAACCAAAGCUUCAGCCAGACUCGAAGCCACGAGGCUCAUGGCGGAGUAUCUCUGCCUUCUCAGGGCCGCUCUGCUUUUACCAAGGCGUGUCCCUUUCCUAGGAAGCUUCUUAGCAUCUCUCUUCUCUCUGCAUCUGAAGGUACUCCCCUCUCUCCUCUCCACCUUGAGGACAAGAAGUACCGUACCUUAGGCCUUCACAGGCGCGCAACUUCUGCAGAAGUACAGAAUUAACCCCUGGAAUACAGCUUCAUCCGAUUUUCCACUUGCCAAAGGCAAGGCUACGGAAAUUGUUUCAACACACGAGUGCACAUGUACAUUAAUAUUUGGAUAAGUUCCGACACACAACGUGAAGCAUUCAAACAAAGCUCCUGAUGUAAGCUGAGUAAGCGCUCAGCGGUGAUGACACAAUUCCGACUUGAUCCCAAUGGGAAUGUCGGGGGUACCCUGCAUACAAUCCAGACUGACAGCCAGGGAGUCAAUAUGAACUGCAGGUUGUCUUGACUACUCUAUAUUGCCCAGGAAUCUCAUCAGUGAUUUCCAGUUUUUGCAAACCGUAGUCUACUUGCAAACACAAAAGUCAUCUAAAAAAACUAUUUGGCAAAAAUGUAGUACCAGGAAUACACUUGAUAAGGUCUCUGGAAUUGCAUCCAUUUAGUUGAAUGUUUCACAUGUUGUUUAUCGUUUUACCUUUUAAGAAAGCACAUUCUGCUACCAAACACAUCCACAGGAUUCAAUUGCCAGAGCAGAGACAUUUUAGGAUAUCUGCAAACCUCAAUUAGAAUUUCCAUUUAAAUUUAAUUUCUUUCAUCUCCAAGUAACCUAGAUGGCAAAGGCAUUAAAUGAUAAUUAAGGGGUACUGGAGUAACCCACUUCUGAAUUUCUUCCUGCGUCUGGGUCAUUUUCCCCAGUCUUGAUAGAGUGAGACAUCGUGGGCAGUGUGCGGAGCCCCAGAUGGGAUAGCAUCUUGAACACUGGCGUUCGCUGAAUGCUCGUGCAGGAUCCAGAAAUACCUCAUGGUCAAGAUGAAAGGUCUAAAUUUAAUACCAAAACCAGAAAAUUGGCUUGGCUUCCCUGUUCUCUGCAUAGGAAAGUUCUUGUUUGGAAGUUCUGAAAAGAGAAGGGGCUGGACACAUAAAGUUCAUGGCAUCCUCAGAUUACCAUGGGGAUCUGAGGGCAGGAGGGGCUCUACUGUUGUCCCAAGACCUCAUCUGGCCCACAGUAGAGUGAAGACAGAGAAUGCACUGGAAGGAAAUCAAGAAGGAGGUGCUCUUUAAUACAGAUAUGCCCACAAUCAGGGCACAUUUGUAUCAUUUAACUUUAAAUGAUAUAUUUCUUCUUCUUCUGGAUUUUCUUAUUCAGCUUUUAAGAUGCAACAGCCUCCCCUGGCUACCUGGAUGGGAUACCUAUUGUUUUUUGUUUGCACAGCAUCCCGACCUCUGCUAACAACUAUGGGCCUUCCUUUGGGGUAGUCACCCUCACCUAGUCUAUUACCCUAGCCUUCGGAGUUAUAGCAAUUAGUUCAAAAGUGGUCUGACACAACUCUCAUUGGCUCUGGGAAUUUGCUGAGACUACUGGAGAAAAGGGUUUACUUUUGCACUAAUUGCUAUGUUGACGGAAUGUAGAACUGUUGCCACUAGCAACCUAUUCAGAGGAAAGUAGAGAUGAGAGGCAGAGAAAGAAUAUAAAGAUGACAUCACUGAGCUCCUAGAUCAAGCCAUACCUGAAGGAAGUAAUAACACUAGAUUUCAUAGUUACACAAAAAUUUGACCUCUUAUCUAAUUUUUUAUCUUAUAUUAGACUAAGUCAUGAAAAGCACUGUGACUUGGAGUGAUUUUGCCCCCUCUGAAUAACCAGAGCAGAGGUUCGCAACCUUGGAUAAUCCUUGCAGUAUCUAUAGUUAAACAAGGAGGUGGAAGGGGCAGCUUCCAGCCUCUCCAAACUCCUCCACACUCCUCCACACUCUCUGCCACUAGAAGGUGGUAACUAUUUUAAGCCCAUUCCAUACAAGCAGCAUCUUCUUAUCAGAAAGCUUCUGUUGAAAAACAGAAUUCGAAUUUUGGUGUUUCAAUAGCAAGGGAUAAGAUGGUUUCAAGUAGGUCUGUUGUUACAACCAAAAACUGCUAAAGAAUCCACAUCUUAGGUCCUGUAGUCUACAACCAUGGGCACCUAAGAGGCCAAAGCUUAAGGACAAUUGAGAAGACAAGACAAACUCUAGGAAGCCCCCCAAUGUGUCCUGUUUCUAUUCCUUGCGGUAUCUACAUGGUUAAAUAAGGAGGUUGAAAGGGAAAGCUCACCUGGCUUAGCCAAUAGAAUCUUUACCCACUAGAGGAUGAAAGUAUAUAUGUGAGUGUCCAUAGCAGCACAUCAUAGCUUGGAAUGGGAGCAACCCAAGAGUCCAUCAACAGAUAUGUGGAUAAACAGAAUGUAGUCUAUCCAUACAGUGGAACAUUAUUUUGCCAUAAAAUGGAAUGAAGUACUAUGCAUACUACAUUAUGAAUGGGCCUCAAAAACAUACUAAGUGAAAGAAGCUGACACCAAAGACCACAUGUUUUAUGAUUGUAUUUUUAUGAAAUGUCCA